rnacentral:tRNA from 1 species
CGCGGGGUAGAGCAGUUGGUAGCUCGUCGGGCUCAUAACCCGGAGGUCGUUGGUUCGAAUCCUUCCCCCGCAA